rnacentral:rRNA from 1 species
UACGUAGGGGGCGAGCGUUGUCCGGAUUUAUUGGGCGUAAAGAGCGUGUAGGCGGCCAGGUAGGUCUGCUGUGAAAACUCGAGGCUCAACCUCGAGACGUCGGCGGAAACCAUCUGGCUAGAGUCCGGAAGAGGAGAGUGGAAUUCCUGGUGUAGCGGUGAAAUGCGUAGAUAUCGGGAGGAACACCUGUGGCGAAAGCGGCGCACUGGACCACAACUGACGCUGAGGCGCGAAAGCUAGGGGAGCAAACAGG